rnacentral:rRNA from 1 species
GACGAACGCUGGCGGCAUGCUUAACACAUGCAAGUCGAACGAGACGGCCGGGUUUAGGGGCGCCCGGGUGGGUAACGCGUGGGAAACUGCCCUUAUGAUCGGCAUAACUCCCCGAGAUAGGUUCUAAUACCGGAUAAUAUCACCGGACCAAAGCUCUUUCGCCUUUGGGUGGGCCGGCGUUGGUUUAGGUAGUGGGUAGGGUAUACGCCUACCAAGGCGGCGAUCCGUAGCUGGUCUGAGAGGAGGAUCAGCCGCACUGGGACUGAGACCCGGCCCAGACUGGUACGGGAGGCGGCAGUGAGUAAUAUUGGGGAGUGGGCGAAAGCCUGAUCCAGCAAUGCCGCGUGGGUGAUGAUGGGGUUAGGGUUGGAAAUCUCUUUUACCCGAGAUGUGAAUGACGGUAGCGGGUGAAUAAGCACCGGCUAACUCCGUG